UGGCUGUUCUGGCUCUUUUGUAUUUCCAUAUGCAUUUUAGGGCCAGCUUAAUUCAUUUCUGCAAAAAAUGUAGCUGGUAUUUUGAUAGGGAUUUGCACUGAAUCUGUGGAUUAAUCUGGGAGGUACUGUCCUAACAAUAUGGCAGUUUCCCUAUCCAUGAACAUAGCAUUUCUUUACAUUUAUUCAGGUUUUUAAUUUUUUCAGUGAUGCUUUGUAGCUUGCAGUGGGUCCCUGUGGAAGAGGCUUUUCAUACCCAGCAAGCUUUGAUCAGGCAAAAUAAAGACAGCCUUGCAAGUGAGAUCUUUCAGGGAGUCACCAGACAAGUUAAAUAAUGACAAUUCCCUGGGAAUGAAGCUUUGAAGGAGCCCUAACCACCGUCUGUCCCCUCCAGUGGCUUCUAUGCAGCCUGAAAAUGUUUAAAUCUGGAAAGAAGAUCAGAUCUUUUAAAGCCUCAAAUAUUCCUCAAACUCAUAUAAAAAAAAUCAUUUUGAAAUAGCCUUUCAAAA